rnacentral:rRNA from 1 species
UACGUAGGGUGCGAGCGUUGUCCGGAAUUAUUGGGCGUAAAGAGCUCGUAGGCGGUCUGUCGCGUCUGCUGUGAAAACUCGGGGCUUAACCCCGGGCCUGCAGUGGGUACGGGCAGACUAGAGUGCGGUAGGGGAGACUGGAAUUCCUGGUGUAGCGGUGAAAUGCGCAGAUAUCAGGAGGAACACCGGUGGCGAAGGCGGGCCUCUGGGCCGUAACUGACGCUGAGGAGCGAAAGCAUGGGGAGCGAACAGG